rnacentral:lncRNA from 1 species
GGCUUUUUAUAUAUAAAGAAGAUGUCAAUAUAUAUACAUAUAUAUGCAUAUAUACAAGAAAUUAGUUUUUUUUUCUAAUUAAAUGAAAUUCAAAAUGGUACAAGACCAUAUCCUUAACUUCUGGAAACAUGUUCUAAUCAACCGACUACUGUAGACCGACAUUGAACUGCCGAGGGAAGCCACAUCGCUGAAGCAGAAUCUCACCGCCACCGACUGCCACAUCGUAAGACAGAGGGCUGGGUCGUCAUCGUAAUAGUUCCCCUCCACCGGAGGAGAGAGAGUUCCAUUUUGAACCGAAUGCAGAAGCGGACCUUGAAAGCGGCUCUUCUCAAAACGCCGAGAGAGAGUUAUCUGAAAUAGAAAAAAGUUAGAUCCACCGAAGCAGACCCAAGGAGAUCCUCCGUUGCUGGGAAGAACUAGAUACCACACGCGCAGCCGAGAAAGGAGGAAGGGUCGUUGACCAGAUGACACCACCACUCCACUUGAAACGCCCACCCCCCAAAGAGAACCUAUGGGGGUUUCUUGAAACUCUAGAGCAGACAAGAACCCCACUCGUCACAGUGUUGGAAUGACAAACUUUGUUAAAAUGAAGAAAGUGUUUAAGUAUUUGAAGAGAGAUAAACUUUGUUAAGAAAAAAGCUUUUAAUAACUUAGAAGAGAAUUUCUUAUUACUUGAAAGUUUCC